rnacentral:rRNA from 1 species
GAUGAACGCUGGCGGCGUGCCUAAUACAUGCAAGUCGAGCGAAUGGAUUGAGAGCUUGCUCUUAUGAAGUUAGCGGCGGACGGGUGAGUAACACGUGGGUAACCUGCCCAUAAGACUGGGAUAACUCCGGGAAACCGGGGCUAAUACCGGAUAACAUUUUGAACCGCAUGGUUCGAAAUUGAAAGGCGGCUUCGGCUGUCACUUAUGGAUGGACCCGCGUCGCAUUAGCUAGUUGGUGAGGUAACGGCUCACCAAGGCAACGAUGCGUAGCCGACCGGAGAGGGUGAUCGGCCACACUGGGACUUAGACACGGCCCAGACUCCUACGGGAGGCAGCAGUAGGGAAUCUUCCGCAAUGGACGAAAGUCUGACGGAGCAACGCCGCGUGAGUGAUGAAGGCUUUCGGGUCGUAAAACUCUGUUGUAGGGAAGAACAAGUGCUAGUUGAAUAAGCUGGCACCUUGACGGUACCUAACCAGAAAGCCACGGCUAACUACGUGCCAGCAGCCGCCGUAA